CAGUCGCCGCGGUAAGACGAACCGUGCGAACGUUAUUCGGAAUCACUGGGCUUAAAGCGCGUGUAGGCGGGACGGCACGUCGACUGCUGAAAUCCCUCGGCUUAACCGAGGAAGUGGCAUCGAUACGACCGUCCUGGAGGAACGUAGGGGGACCUGGAACUUCCGGUGGAGCGGUGAAAUGCGUUGAGAUCUGAAGGAACGCCCGUGGCGGAAGCGAGGUCCUGGACGUUUUCUGACGCUGAGACGCGAAAGCUAGGGGAGCGAACGGGAUUAGAUACCCCGGUAGUCCCUGUCUCUUAUA
rnacentral:rRNA from 1 species